rnacentral:rRNA from 1 species
AAAGGGUGCGCAGGUGGUUUAUUAAGUCAGUGGUGAAAGACGGUCGCUCAACGAUUGCAGUGCCAUUGAAACUGGUAGACUUGAGUAAAGUAGAGGUGGGCGGAAUUGAUAGUGUAGCGGUGAAAUGCAUAGAUAUUAUCAAGAACUCCAAUUGCGUAGGCAGCUCACUUGGCUUUUACUGACACUCAUGCACGAAAGUGUGGGUAUCAAACAGGAUUAGAUACCCUGGU